AUGAACGCUGGCGGCGUGCCUAAUACAUGCAAGUCGAGCGAACGGACGAGAAGCUUGCUUCUCUGAUGUUAGCGGCGGACGGUUGAGUAACACGUGGAUAACCUACCUAUAAGACUGGGAUAACUUCGGGAAACCGGAGCUAAUACCGGAUAAUAUUUUGAACCGCAUGGUUCAAAAGUGAAAGACGGUCUUGCUGUCACUUAUAGAUGGAUCCGCGCUGCAUUAGCUAGUUGGUAAGGUAACGGCUUACCAAGGCAACGAUGCAUAGCCGACCUGAGAGGGUGAUCGGCCACACUGGAACUGAGACACGGUCCAGACUCCUACGGGAGGCAGCAGUAGGGAAUCUUCCGCAAUGGGCGAAAGCCUGACGGAGCAACGCCGCGUGAGUGAUGAAGGUCUUCGGAUCGUAAAACUCUGUUAUUAGGGAAGAACAUAUGUGUAAGUAACUGUGCACAUCUUGACGGUACCUAAUCAGAAAGCCACGGCUAACUACGUG
rnacentral:rRNA from 1 species